UGUAUCGUCCGGGAAUCUAACCCGGCCGCCCGCACGGCAGGCGAGCAUUCUAGCCCUGAAGCAACGAUGC